UGGGGAAUAUUGGACAAUGGGGGCAACCCUGAUCCAGCAAUGCCGCGUGUGUGAAGAAGGCCUUAGGGUUGUAAAGCACUUUCAGUCGUGACGAUGAUGACGGUAGCGACAGAAGAAGCCCCGGCUAACUCCGUGCCAGCAGCCGCGGUAAUACGGAGGGGGCGAGCGUUGUUCGGAAUUACUGGGCGUAAAGGGCGCGUAGGCGGCGCUGUCAGUCAGGCGUGAAAGCCCGGGGCUCAACCCCGGAAUAGCGUUUGAUACUGCGGCGCUUGAGAGCGGAAGAGGGCAGUGGAAUUCCCAGUGUAGAGGUGAAAUUCGUAGAUAUUGGGAAGAACACCAGUGGCGAAGGCGGCUGCCUGGUCCGUUUCUGACGCUGAGGCGCGAAAGCGUGGGGAGCAAACAGGAUUAGAUACCCCCGUAGUCC
rnacentral:rRNA from 1 species